CUAGGAUCUUCUAAUUCUAUCCUUCCCUUAGGGACGCCGAUGCCUAGAAGCAGCACCCUUCCAUGCAUUUGGUGGCCGCCGCUCCCAGCAGCUGAGGAAAACACACUGGAAAGUAAUAUGAAAACUCCAAAGGAGAUCCAUGAGUGCAUUAUGCAAACCCUGAGUGACAAGUGCCCAUCCUAACUGUGAAGAAGUGGUGUGCCAACUUUCAGCAUGGAGAUUUUGAAACUGAAGAUGCAAGAGCCUUUCAGGCUGAAAAACAAGAGUUUUGCCAGAGGACAUGGUUUGAAGACGCAUAAUAUCUCAACUCUGCUGACAUGAAGCAAUCCAAGACCUCAUGACUGCUUAGAUGGGAACUCAAGAAAAUGCUAACUAUGUUGCUCUGGGGUCCACCAUGGGACAAAAGCAAGAUGUAAGUGUAAUAAACAGUUAACUAAAAAGAUAUU